CUAUCCUCUUCCAUGAAUUUUGAAUUUCUAGGUUUAGGGUUAUUGUUUUUUGGGAGCGGUGCAGGGGAAGAGGAAGAAAGACCAAGAAAUGAAAGGAUAGAAAAAUGAGGAGCUCAGGUGAUGGAGGUAAUGCUGGAGAAGGGCUCCUGGCUGUGGGAUCAGAGGUGUAGAUCAUAGCGGAGGAGAUGAGCCAUGUGGAUGGCAUAGAAGAGGGGAGCUCAAGGCUGCGGAGACGAAGGAACAACAGUAGAGUAUCAGGCGCUUCGAUCUAGCUGAGAUCUUUUUUUGUUUGUCACGGCAAACGAGGAAUUGGAAUUCUGCCAAGAAAUCUAGGAGUGGAAGAAUAUGUAUGCAAGGGACUUGGAGACGAGGCAAUGGUGCGCUGGCGAAAACACUAUUGUUCUGAUGCAUUAGGAUUGGGGUUCGGCUGCUCUUCAGUUUGUUAUAUCAAGGUUUUGAAGCUUUGGGAGCCUGCGGCCGGUUCGACGGGUGACAUCAGCAAGCGCCGGCCAGCCUCGGCACAGCUGCGGGUGGUUAUAUGGUGGGCGGAGUACACGAGUGGGUUCCGAUGUCAGGGUACGGUGGCAAGCUAAAUCCUGAGUCCAGCUAGGCUUUUUUUUCGUUCAGAUUUUGUUACUGUUUUCCAUUCGGGAUUUCAUGGUGAGCAAACCUAGUAUUUGCAGUUGUUUGUUUCAGAAAUUCAUGUCCUGACAUCAAAAUUCGUUUGUAAGGUAAAUCCUGCCAACAAGUCGAUGCUAUGGGCUUACUAGUUCUCUUAGUUUUUCUAUUCUAAUUUUGUAUGUAAUUUAGAUGAAUACUGUCUAUUUAAUUCAGGGAUACGUUCAACAUGCUUGUGAGGUACAGAUUUUGUAGGUCCAGUUGUAAGUGUUUGCUUGAUUUGUCGCUCAAGUUUCAUGUUCUAAUGAUGCUCCUUGACUUCAAUACAAUGUUGGCAUGUAGGAUGACCAUCUAUGCAACUUAUCAUGCACAAAUUAAAAAAAGCUUGGCUCAUCUUCUGCAUGUCUUCAAGGAAUAAUUUCUGAUGUAUAACGAGAUAAUGAUUUUUUCUUUUUAUUUCUUAUCAUGCGGCUAGUUGCCACAAAAAAUUAACACAUACAUCGCCACUUAUCAUUAAAACAAAAUCAUAUCUGCCAAGUUUCUACAUUCCGUCGAAGCUUGCAGAUUUACAUCUAUUUUGGUACAUUAUUAAAACAAAUCGUAACCAUGGAUUCUAUAUGGAAGAUCGAAAUAUCAUUUUUACAUUAGGUUCAUGUACUCUCAAGGAAUCGACUUUGUUCAUCUUCAACCCAUUUUCCUAUCUUGCAAAGCUAUCCAUUCAAGUAUGGUCAAUUUCUACUCUGUGACUUAAUACAUUUGUAACACUGUCAUCGUGCCAUUGACAUGCCUUUUUUUCGCCCCAUUUAAUAUUGAUUCAUCUACAUGGUUAUAUGCAUGUUUUUGCAUACAUAACUUAUCCAGUCCGCUAUUGAUCAUUUUCAUUUUUCAUCCCAGCAGUACGCCGAUAGCCUAUCCAGGCUGCUAUUGAUCAUUUCCAUUUUUCAUCCCGGCAGUAUGCCGAUAUCUAUAAUCGAGCCAAUAGUUCCAAAACAUUGCUUCACAAUUACUCGGCAGUAUUUGUCUAUUUGGGCAGCACAUAGCUGGCUUCGGUGGGUGGCAUGUCAUGUCCAUUCUCAAUUGAAGUUGCUCUGAAAAUAUCGAACUCUGCCAUGAAAUAGAAAAGAUAGAACUUUCCUUCACAUCGUUGAUUUUUCUUAGUCUUCCUUUUGUGAAGCUGUGUAGCAUUCUUCCUUUUACUAGCUGUAAUUUCGUCUUGUGUUGUAAUACAUGGAUCUGUUAAUUUAUCCAUCCUAAUUAUUUAAUGUUGAAUUCCAAUAUCUGGUGAGUGGGAUAUGUACUAACAAGUUAUUUUGCAGAUAACCACCGUCCAUAGCUCUCAUGUGAAUGUGGCAAGGCCACAAAACAAGUUUUCCAUCGCCAGAUAUCCAACAGAUCAACUAGUGUUAUGGAUGCUUCUUAUAGAUAUUUUUUUGUCAUUUCAAACAUCAAACACCAACUAUUCACAAUGGAGACAGGAAACGUGUAGCUUCUCAUGUCAACUAAGUGAGCCUGCCAAUUGUGGCAAUGGAAGGAGGUGGCAUGUCGCCUCAUUCAUGAGGCUGUUAGUUUCAUAACAGACAUUUUCCAGUUGCAUAUCUUUUGUAAAGUGUUCAGACUGUUUUUUUUAGCAAAGAAAUAAAAUUUCUAAGACUUUAUCUAA